rnacentral:ribozyme from 1 species
CACAUCUUUACUUUUUUUGUUGUUCCUAUUUUAUUUUUUAUCAUUUUCAAAUUUUUUCAAAAAUUUAAACAUUUUUAUGACUUUUAGCGAUGGAUGUCUAGGCUCUCGCAAC